GAUUAUGGCUCGAGGACGAACGCUGGCGGCGUGCUUCAUACAUGCAAGUCGAACGAUAAGGCCCCUUCGGGGGUACAUAAGUGGCGGACGGGUGAGUAAAAUGUAGAGAAUCUGCCCUUAAGCGGGGGACAACAGAGGGAAACUUCUGCUAAUACCCCAUAUGAGCGUAUCUGAAAUGGUAUUCUUGAAAACUCCGGUGCUUAAGGAUGAGUCUGCAUCUGAUUAGCUAGUUGGGGGUGUAAUGGACCACCAAGGCGACGAUCAGUAGCUGGUUUGAGAGGAUGAUCAGCCACAAUGGGACUGAGACACGGCCCAUACUCCUACGGGAGGCAGCAGUAGGGAAUUUUGCGCAAUGGGGGAAACCCUGACGCCAGCAACGCCGCGUGACCGAUGAAGCCCUUCGGGGUGUAAAGGUCUGUCAGUGGGGACGAAACUUGACGGUACCCACAGAGGAAGCAUCGGCUAACUCCGUGCCAGCAGCGGC
rnacentral:rRNA from 1 species